GGGCCCCCACACUGAGGAGAAACUUUUGAGAGUAGAACCAAAAUUGUGGUUCUACUACUUUUGGAGUCGAACCAAAAAUUGGAUUAGGAUAAUAGAGACAAAGGAAGAUAAAUUUCUGAUUUAAAAAGGGGAGAAGAACACAGCCAGACAUCUCAGAAAGCUGGCCACUGUGUUUUUGAACACCUCACAAAGGUUACAAAACAGGGACCUCUGUGAAGUUAGCUUUUCUAACUCUGAGCCAUGACUUUUUUUUUUUUAAGAGAUGGGAUCUCACUAUGUUGCCCAGGCUGGUCUUGAACUUCUGGAUUCAAGUGAUUUGAUUUUCCUGCCUUGGACUCCCAAAGUGCUGGGAUUACAGCAACUCCCAAAACACACAUGGCCCCAGAGAAUAAGAGGACCACAGCUGAGUUGCUUUUCAGACAUCAGACAGCUGUCCUUGUGGAUGAAAGAAACUCCUUUCCAACUUUGAAGAAAAUGUCCAGGGAUCGGGGAGCAGGCAUGUGAUAUUCUUCAAGGUGCCACCAGCCUUUCUCAAUAAAACAUCUCCAGUGGGAAAACAUGGAACCCAGAAAGGGCUGGUGUGGGAAAAAUAUGACAAGGAUGGCCGGCAAAGUAAACCCAUGGUGAAUUCAACCCUGAGAAAGCAGAUUUCCUGGAGUGUGCAAGCUUUGCUUAGGCUUAGUUUUAAUAAAUAAUAAAGAGACACAAUUAAACAAACUAAAGGUGAUCUUGCCCCGGAUGGCUCCUUAGGAUCUUUAGAACAUGGCAAUUCAAUUUAAACGCGGAGCCCCUACUCUGCUGGACUGACAGGAAAUUGAACUGUCCAGGUCAUGACUCCCGUGUAUGAAGUGCAGCUGUCCAGGUCACCCCUGGAACAUCUUUCACAACCUUGCUGAGGGCCCUGCUAGGAACCAGGCAUCUUAAGAAGCACUAGGUCAUCUGGAGGCCCUUCCCAUCAUUAGUUCACAUGAGCACGUCCCAGUCUGCAUGGUCUCCUUGGGGUUACCCCUCUGCUAUUAAAUAUUUUCUAGAAAAAAAAAAAAAAGACUCUUUGGCAAAGACCCAGCCUCCCUGAGGCACAUACAGCGAGGGGGUACCACCAAGAAGCAGGUGACAUCCUUGAGGCUUCUGGAUUCACAGACCUUUUUAGUUUAGGAAAAUACAGCCCUCCUCAAACCCUAUUCUUCUCUGCAGGUUUAUUUGAAAUGAAAGCCUGGAAGUCCAGCCACAAGUCUCUCCUGAGGCUGAGACACAGAGCCAGCCAGAAUGAAAAAUGGAAAGGGGAAAAUACAGAGAGAGAAAUUAAAUCAGUAUCUCAAAGGUUUUCCUCUUUUUUCUAAAAUGAAAUUCCUUUCAUUUUAGUGUUUAUUUUAGAGUUGAGGCAACUGAGACAUGGGCAUAAUGACCAAAGGCACACAACUAGUUACAAACAGUGACACAACCAGUUACUGACACCUACUAGUUACUGACAGAUACUAACAGCCAACAAUAGCUGGCUCUUUCUAUUAUACCAUGGUGCCUCUUCAUUUUUUCUGAUUUCCAACCUCUUUUCUAUUCUAAACUGCCCUUGUUGAUAGGCACUUAAGUCUCUGCACCUACAGUCUUAGACAUAUUUGGAAACUUCUCUUAAGCAUGUUGAUCCAUCCAGGGCUGAAUUAUCUGUGAUCAAAAGAAUUACUCCACCCUGGGGCAUAUCCAACAAGAUGAAAGAUUCAGAAAUAAAUUACAUUGUGCUCCAUUCUUCCUGGCUCUCAACAUCUUCCCGCAUAAGAAAUCAGUUUCCUGAGAGUCUCCAGGCUCCAAAAGGCCAUCCUAAGGGAUGAAGGCAAAGUCUCAUGGGUCCAGCCACCCACCACAGACAUCUCUAGGAUGACUUUGGGGACCUGAUUGUUCCUGUGGCAAUGAUGCAUGUGGCCUGGGAGUUUUGGGAAAGCCUCUACUGCUGCCUCUUGCCAGCUUUCCACUUGGUAGAAGAUGCUUCCUAAAGAUGCACUUUGUGAAGUCUCUGCAGAACCAGCAUAGACCAAGCCAAAUCAUGAUGAAAAUUCUUGUUGUCUGCUCCUUCUCCCAGUGCAGUCCUGUGUUUCCACUUGUUGGAAAUAUAUCUGCCUGUCAAUGUCUGAGAACGCCAGCACCUUUUCGAUGUUACGAACUCACAGUGCUCCUCUUCCAGAAUGCCAGCAUUCAUAAUUUUUAAGCCUCAAACUUUCAAGAAAUGGAAGCAAUUGAAUUACACUGCAUUUAAAAGUAGAAAUGGUACUAUUACAUAGCUAGAAAUUUCUGUCAGGUAUG
rnacentral:lncRNA from 1 species